AAUCAACGCUGGCGGCGCGCUUAACACAUGCAAGUCGAACGAGAAAGCAGGGGCAACUCUGUGAGUACAGUGGCGUACGGGUGAGUAACACGUGGAUGAUCUACCCUGGAGUGGGGAAUAACGCUGGGAAACCGGCGCUAAUACCGCAUAAUCCCGAGAGGGCAAAGGGGCUUUGUGAAAGCAAUGCCUCGCUUCAGGAGGAGUCCGCGGCCGAUUAGCUAGUUGGCAGGGUAAAAGCCUACCAAGGCAACGAUCGGUAGCCGGCCUGAGAGGGCACACGGCCACACUGGCACUGAACACGGGCCAGACUCCUACGGGAGGCAGCAGUGGGGAAUCUUGCACAAUGGGGGCAACCCCGAUGCAGCGACGCCGCGUGAGCGAUGAAGCCCUUCGGGUGUAAGCUCUUUCGGCAGGGAAGAUGAUGACGGUACCUGCAGAAGCAGCUGCGGCUAACUACGUGCCAGCCGCCGCUGU
rnacentral:rRNA from 1 species